rnacentral:rRNA from 1 species
CAUAGCCGAGUUUGAGAGACUGAUCGGCCACAUUUGGGACUGAGACACGGCCCAAACUCCUACGGGAGGCAGCAGUAGGGAAUCUUCCACAAUGGACGCAAGUCUGAUGGAGCAACGCCGCGUGAGUGAAGAAGGGUUUCGGCUCGUAAAGCUCUGUUGUUGGUGAAGAAGGACAGGGGUAGUAACUAACCUUUGUUUGACGGUAAUCAAUUAGAAAGUCACGGCUAACUACGUGCCAGCAGCCGCGGUAAU